GAUGAAGAACGCAGCGAAAUGCGAUAAGUAAUGUGAAUUGCAGAAUUCAGUGAAUCAUCGAAUCUUUGAACGCACCUUGCGCCCUUUGGCUAUUCCAGAGGGCAUGCCUGUUUGAGUAUCAUGAACACCUCAACUCUCAUGGUUCUGCCAUGAUGAGCUUGGACUUUGGAGGUCUUGCUGGCCCCUGUGGUCAGCUCCUCUCAAAUGGAUCAGCUUGCCAGUGUUUGGUGGCAUCACAGGUGUGAUAACUAUCUACGCUUGUGGUUUUCCACCAGGUAACCUUCAGUGAUGGAGGUUCGCUGGAGCUCAUAAACGUCUCUCCUCAGCGAGGACAGCUUCUUGAAUGUUUGAUCUCAAAUCAGGAAGGGCUACCCGCUGAACUUAAGCAUAUCAAUAAGCGGAGGA
rnacentral:misc_RNA from 1 species